GACAGAGGAUGCAAGCGUUAUCCGGAAUUACUGGGCGUAAAGCGCGUGUAGGUGGUGGGACAAGUCUGCUGUGAAAGCGCCUGGCUUAACCGGGCGAGGUCGGCGGAAACUGUCCGACUAGAGGACGGUAGAGGGGGGUGGAAUUCCCGGUGUAGUGGUGAAAUGCGUAGAGAUCGGGAGGAACACCUGUGGCGAAGGCGGCCCCCUGGGCCGCGCCUGACGCUGAGACGCGAAAGCGUGGGGAGCAAACAGG
rnacentral:rRNA from 1 species